GCAGUAGCCACGGUAAUACGUAGGUGGCAAGCGUUGUCCGGAAUUAUUGGGCGUAAAGCGCGCGCAGGCGGAUCAGUCAGUCUGUCUUAAAAGUUCGGGGCUUAACCCCGUGAGGGGAUGGAAACUGCUGAUCUAGAGUAUCGGAGAGGAAAGUGGAAUUCCUAGUGUAGCGGUGAAAUGCGUAGAUAUUAGGAAGAACACCAGUGGCGAAGGCGACUUUCUGGACGAAAACUGACGCUGAGGCGCGAAAGCCAGGGGAGCGAACGGGAUUAGAUACCCGCGUAGUCCCUGUCUCUUAUACA
rnacentral:rRNA from 1 species